rnacentral:rRNA from 1 species
CCUGAACGCUGGCGGCGUGGCUAAGACAUGCAAGUCGAACGGAUGUAGCAAUACAUCAGUGGCGGACGGGUGAGUAAUGAAUCGCUAAUGUGCCCCGGAGCCAGGGAUAGCUGCCCGGAAACGGGCGAGGUAAUACCUGAUGAGACCACAACACCGCAUGGUGAAGUGUUCAAAGCAGCGCAGCAAUGUGAUGCACUCUGGGAGCAGGCGAUUUCGUAUCAGCUUGUUGGUGAGGUAACGGCUCACCAAGGCGACGACGCGUAGCUGGUCUGAGAGGACGGCCAGCCACAUUGGGAC